rnacentral:rRNA from 1 species
AGUGAACGCUGGCGGUAGGCCUAACACAUGCAAGUCGAACGGCAGCACAGUAAGAGCUUGCUCUUACGGGUGGCGAGUGGCGGACGGGUGAGGAAUACAUCGGAAUCUACUUUUUCGUGGGGGAUAACGUAGGGAAACUUACGCUAAUACCGCAUACGACCUACGGGUGAAAGCAGGGGAUCUUCGGACCUUGCGCGAUUGAAUGAGCCGAUGUCGGAUUAGCUAGUUGGCGGGGUAAAGGCCCACCAAGGCGACGAUCCGUAGCUGGUCUGAGAGGAUGAUCAGCCACACUGGAACUGAGACACGGUCCAGACUCCUACGGGAGGCAGCAGUGGGGAAUAUUGGACAAUGGGCGCAGCCUGAUCCAGCCAUACCGCGUGGGUGAAGAAGGCCUUCGGGUUGUAAAGCCCUUUUGUUGGGAAAGAAAAGCAGCAGGUUAAUACCCCGCUGUUCUGACGGUACCCAAAGAAUAAGCACCGGCUAACUUCGU